rnacentral:misc_RNA from 1 species
AAGUCGUAACAAGGUUUCCGUAGGUGAACCUGCGGAAGGAUCAUUUCCAAAUCUUAUUUUUGAAAAAUGGAUGAUGCUAGUCAUGCAUUUUUCAAAAACAAAACAAAACAAACACCAAUUUUAUUCUAAAAGACAUACUCGUCUAACAUAACAUUCCAUUUUUUGUAACAAAAAAAUGAUAACAAAAUACAACUUUUAACAACGGAUCUCUUGGCUCUC